rnacentral:rRNA from 1 species
GACGAACGCUGGCGGCGUGCUUAACACAUGCAAGUCGAACGGAAAGGCCUCUUUCGGGGGGUACUCGAGUGGCGAACGGGUGAGUAACACGUGAGUAACCUGCCCUUGACUUUGGGAUAACUUCAGGAAACUGGGGCUAAUACCGGAUAGGAGCUCCUGCUGCAUGGUGGGGGUUGGAAAGUUUCGGCGGUUGGGGAUGGACUCGCGGCUUAUCAGCUUGUUGGUGGGGUAGUGGCUUACCAAGGCUUUGACGGGUAGCCGGCCUGAGAGGGUGACCGGCCACAUUGGGACUGAGAUACGGCCCAGACUCCGACGGGAGGCAGCAGUGGGGAAGAUUGCACAAUGGGUGGAAGCCUGAUGCAGCAACGCCGGGUGCGGGAUGACGGCCUUCGGGUUGUAAACCGCUUUCGCUCAUGACGAAGCUUUGUGUGACGGUAGUGGGUAAAGAAGCACCGGCUAACUACGUG